GACAGCCACACAUAUGCCAAGUGUCAGAGAGUAAAUGGCAACAGCAGGACCUGACCCAGAUUUACUGUCCAGUGCAGUUUUGCUGAGAGCGGUGAGAGGUGGAGGAGGCAUCUAAAGGGCUUGCUUUACAAUGUUGCCUGGAGCCAGUCCACAUCCGAGCCAUGGGAGGUCACAAGAAAUGUAAGGAGAAGUUGGUAGAUUUACCUACAGUUGCAUAGCUGAUAUGUGGCAAAACAUCAAAGUCCAGAGCUCUAAACGGUAUGUCUUGUGGUGCUCAUAAUUAUAUGCUCUGAAAUAAAAAAGAAGACUAUAUUACAUGCUAAUCACUGAUAAAUCUUUCUGCGAUGCCGGUUCAAUUGCCUUCAUUGAUUAUUGCAGAAUUUCCUAUUUGAUUCACUUUGGUGAACUCUCAUGACAUUUUAGAUGUUGUGUUAGGUGUUGGGGAUUCCAAGCUAAUUAAGAAAUUGACACUACUCCAGAGAAGACCUCCUAAUUGGUCUCUUUACCUUGAUCUCUACUCAUUCUGACUCUCAUCAUUGUCUGAAUUUUCUCCUUAACAUAAGAGCUUGAAUUUUUAUUUCCUUAUUUAAAAAUGCUAAAUGAUUCUCUCAUAAUAAAGUAAAAACUCCUGAGCAGGGCCAGAGUUGGAAUGAGGAUCAGAAAGGGAAUUUAGUUCAAUAGGGAUAAUGAUGUUCAUUUUAGACAUGUGGACUUGUGAUUCUGGGGAAUCAGAGAGGAGGGGUUUCAAAGUUCACAGCUGGCAUUGUGGCUAAAGUUAGUUCUGAAGGUACAGAUUUGGAGACCAUCAAUGCUGAGUCCAAGGGGAAAGAAGAGCCCUUGAAACGGGAUACAAGUAGAGAUAUGCUGAGGAUGUUGGAGAAUAAUCUAGAAAUUCUCAGGGCUCCAGGGUCUUGGCAUGGCCACCUCAAAUCCUUUCUGCAUGAGGCCACUUGGUUCCUUUGCUUUUGAAGAAAAUGGCAAAAUUAAUACAAAUGCUCCCCUGACUUACAAUGGGGUUAUGUCCCAGUAAAUCCAUCAGAAAUUGAAAAUAUUGUAAGUUGAGAAUGCACUUAAUAUGCUUAGCCUACAGAACAUAAUUGCUUGGCCUAGUGUACCUUAAACAUGCUCAGAACACUUACAUUACCCUACUGCUGGGCAAAAUUACCAGCACAAAGCCUGUUUUAUCAUAAAGUGUUAAACAUCUCGUGUAAUUCAUUGAAUACUGCACUGAAAGUGAACACCAGAAUGGUUGUAUGAGUACUCGAAGUACAGCUUCUACUGAAUGCAUAUUGCUUUUGCACCAUUGUAAAUUGUGAACAAUUGUGAGUCGAACCAUAUAGUAAGUUCAGGACCAUCUGUACUGCAUCAAGGUCCCCAGGACCUGAACACAAGUGGUAUAAAUUAUUCCCACUCCUGGAUAAAAAUUUGUUCCAGGAAAGCAGGUAAAUUAGCAUGAUAUAAAUCUUCAAAUUACUUUUGCCCAGUUUGGAGAAGAUGAUCCAGCAUGGUGUGACAAACAGUGUUUUCUCAACACCAUAAGUAAUUCUGCAAAGGACAUGCUGUACACUUUGCCCAGAUUUGUGAUUAUUUCCUCAAGGAAUGGAAUUACUGGGUUAAAGGGAGUUAACAUCUUUAAGGUUCUAGUUAACCACUGAGAAACUGGCCUCAAGAAAGAUUGGAUAAUGUAUAUACCUGUCAAUUGCAGCCCAUCAUUGCUACUGCUAAAUAUAUUCCUUUAAAUUUUUUUUCUAUUUAA